AACUGCGAAUGGCUCAUUAAAUCAGUUAUCGUUUAUUUGAUAGUACCUUACUACUUGGAUAACCGUGGUAAUUCUAGAGCUAAUACAUGCUGAAAACCUCGACUUCGGAAGGGGUGUAUUUAUUAGAUAAAAAACCAACGCCCUUCGGGGCUUCUUGGUGAUUCAUGAUAACUUUACGGAUCGCAUGGCCUUGCGCCGGCGACGGUUCAUUCAAAUUUCUGCCCUAUCAACUUUCGAUGGUAAGGUAUUGGCUUACCAUGGUUUCAACGGGUAACGGGGAAUUAGGGUUCGAUUCCGGAGAGGGAGCCUGAGAAACGGCUACCACAUCCAAGGAAGGCAGCAGGCGCGCAAAUUACCCAAUCCCGACACGGGGAGGUAGUGACAAUAAAUACUGAUACAGGGCUCUUUUGGGUCUUGUAAUUGGAAUGAGUACAAUUUAAACCUCUUAACGAGGAACAAUUGGAGGGCAAGUCUGGUGCCAGCAGCCGCGGUAAUUCCAGCUCCAAUAGCGUAUAUUAAAGUUGUUGCAGUUAAAAAGCUCGUAGUUGAAACUUGGGUCUGGCUGGCAGGUCCGCCUCACCGCGUGUACUUGUCCGGCCGGGCCUUCCUUCUGGAGAACCUCAUGCUCUUCACUGGGCGUGUUGGGGACCAGGACUUUUACUUUGAAAAAAUUAGAGUGUUCAAAGCAGGCCUUUGCUCGAAUACGUUAGCAUGGAAUAAUAGAAUAGGACGUGCGGUCCUAUUUUGUUGGUUUCUAGGACCGCCGUAAUGAUUAAUAGGGACAGUCGGGGGCAUCAGUAUUCAAUUGUCAGAGGUGAAAUUCUUGGAUUUAUUGAAGACUAACUACUGCGAAAGCAUUUGCCAAGGAUGUUUUCAUUAAUCAGUGAACGAAAGUUAGGGGAUCGAAGACGAUCAGAUACCGUCGUAGUCUUAACCGUAAACUAUGCCGACUAGGGAUCGGGCGAUGUUCUUUUUCUGACUCGCUC
rnacentral:rRNA from 1 species